rnacentral:rRNA from 1 species
AGCAGCCGCGGUAAUUCCAGCUCCAAUAGCGUAUAUUAAAGUUGUUGCAGUUAAAAAGCUCGUAGUUGAAUUUCGGGAUCAAUAUGUUGGUCGUGCCUUGGUACGUACUAAUUUAUUGGUUUCUUCCUUCUGACGAACCAUGAUGUCAUUAAUUUGGUGUCUUGGGGAAUCAGGACUGUUACUUUGAAAAAUUAGAGUGUUUAAAGCAGGCUCACGCUUGAAUACAUUAGCAUGGAAUAAUGAAAUAGGACGUUUGAUUCUAUUUUGUUGGUUUCUAGGAUUGACGUAAUGAUUAAUAGGGAUAGUUGGGGGCAUUAAUAUUCAAUUGUCAGAGGUGAAAUUCUUGGAUUUAUUGAAGACUAACUACUGCGAAAAGCAUUUGCCAAGGAUGUUUUCAUUAAU